rnacentral:rRNA from 1 species
AUACGGAGGGGGCUAGCGUUGUUCGGAAUUACUGGGCGUAAAGCGCGCGUAGGCGGAUCGUUAAGUCAGGGGUGAAAGCCCGGAGCUCAACUCCGGAACUGCCCUUGAUACUGGCGAUCUCGAGUCCGGGAGAGGUGAGCGGAAUUCCUAGUGUAGAGGUGAAAUUCGUAGAUAUUAGGAGGAACACCAGUGGCGAAGGCGGCUCACUGGCCCGGUACUGACGCUGAGGUGCGAAAGCGUGGGGAGCAAACAGGAGUAGAUACCCUAGUAGUCC